rnacentral:ncRNA from 1 species
CCGGCUGUUCCAUCAGCCGUUCCCUACCCGGACAUGCGAAGCUGGCAACGGCUUGGUGUGAAGCUCCGGGGACAAAGCAACCACUGUACACACGGUACGUUGAGCCGCGAGGCGAGACGGAAUCUGCCAGCACGAAGGCGGAGAGGUGC